rnacentral:rRNA from 1 species
GAUCCUGCCGGAGGUUACUGCUAUCGGGGUCCGACUAAGCCAUGCGAGUUGAGAGGGGUAAGCCCUCGGCAUACUGCUCAGUAACACGCGGAUAACCUGCCCUUGGGUCUGGGAUAACCCCGGGAAACUGGGACUAAUACCGGAUAGAUCAGAGAUACUGGAAUGUUCUCUGGUUCAAAACUCCGGUGCCCAAGGAUGGGUCUGCGGCCUAUCAGGUAGUAGUGGGUGUAACGUACCUACUAGCCAGCGACGGGUAAGGGUUGUGAGAGCAAGAUCCCUGAGAUGGAUUCUGAGACAUGAAUCCAGGCCCUACGGGGUGCAGCAGGCGCGAAAACUUUACACUGCGGGAAACCGCGAUAAGGGGACCCCGAGUGCCAGCACCUAGUGCUGGCUGUCCAGCUGUCCAAAUAACAGCUGUUAGCAAGGGCCGGGCAAGACCGGUGCCAGCCGCCGCGGUAGCACCGGCGGCCCGAGUGGUAACCGUUUUUAUUGGGUUUAAAGGGUCCGUAGCCGGCUUAUUAAGUCUCUUGGGAAAUCUGGCGGCUCAAUCGUCAGGCGUCCAAGAGAUACUGAUAGGCUUGGGACCGGGAGAGGUGGGAGGUACUCCAGGGGUAGGGGUGAAAUCUCGUAAUCCUUGGGGGACCACCGAUGGCGAAGGCAUCCCACCAGAACGGGUCCGACGGUGAGGGACGAAAGCUGGGGGCACGAACCGGAUUAGAUACCCGGGUAGUCCCAGCUGUAAACGAUGCUCGCUAGGUGUCAGGUGCGGUGCGACCGCAUCUGGUGCCGCAGUGAAAACUUGAAGCGAGUCACCUGGGAAGUACGGUCGCAAGGCUGAAACUUAAAGGAAUUGGCGGGGGAGCACUACAACGGGUGGAGCCUGCGGUUCAAUUGGAGUCAACGCCGGG